rnacentral:rRNA from 1 species
UACGUAGGGUGCAAGCGUUGUCCGGAAUUAUUGGGCGUAAAGAGCUCGUAGGCGGUUUGUCGCGUCUGCUGUGAAAACUCGGGGCUUAACUCCGGGCCUGCAGUGGGUACGGGCAGACUAGAGUGCGGUAGGGGAGACUGGAAUUCCUGGUGUAGCGGUGAAAUGCGCAGAUGUCAGGAGGAACACCGGUGGCGAAGGCGGGUCUCUGGGCCGUAACUGACGCUGAGGAGCGAAAGCGUGGGGAGCGAACAGG